GUUCCUCAUCCUGAGCCGAGAGGACUCCACCAUGGUGAGGGACAUGGGGACAUUGGGGACAUCAUGGGGACAUCAUGGGGACAUCAUGGGGACAUCCUGGGGGACAGGGCUUCCUCAUCCUGAGUUGAGAGGACUCCACCAUGGUGAGGGACACUGGGGACAUCACGGGGACAUCACGGGGACAUGGGGACAUUGGGGACAUCAUGGGGACAGGGGUUCCUCAUCCUGAGCCGAGAGGACUCCACCAUGAUCCUGCAGACGGGCCAGGAGAUCCUGGAGCUGGACACGAGCGGCUUCGCCACGCAGGGCCCGACCGUGUUCGCGGGGAACCUGGGCCAGGGCCAGUUCAUCGUGCAGGUGUCACCUCUGGGGCUGCGGCUGCUGCAGGGCGGUGAGUGACACACCUGGGGACAGGGACACACCUGGGACACACCUGGGGACACACCUGGGACACACCUGGGGGCAGGGACACACCUGGGCCAGGGCCAGUUCAUCGUGCAGGUGUCACCUCUGGGGCUGCGGCUGCUGCAGGGCGGUGAGUGACACACCUGGGGACAGGUGACACACCUGGGGACAGGGACACACCUGGGACACACCUGGGGACAGGGACACACCUGGGGACAGGGACACACCUGGGGACAGGGCCAGUUCAUGGGGCAGUUGGGCGCGCAGGUGUGACCGCUGGGGCGGCGGCGACACCCCGGCGGUGAGUGACACACCUGGGACACACCUGGGACACACCUGGGGACACACCUGGGGACAGCUGGGGACACACCUGGGACACACCUGGGGACACACCUGGGGACAGGUGACACACCUGAGGUCAGGGACACACCUGGGACACACCUGGGACAGGGAGACACCUGGGGUGACAUCAGGGGGUGACACAGGCCCCAGUGUGUCCCCAGGUGUGACCUCAAGGGGGUGGCAGAGGAAGAGGUGACAGCAGAGGGUGGCCACAGGGUGACGCUGCUGUGCCAUUCUUGGGGGUGCAGUGACAGGUGAC
rnacentral:lncRNA from 1 species